rnacentral:misc_RNA from 1 species
AAAUGCGAUAAGUAGUGUGAAUUGCAGAAUUCAGUGAAUCAUCGAAUCUUUGAACGCACAUUGCGCCCCUUGGUAUUCCAUGGGGCAUGCCUGUUCGAGCGUCAUUUGUACCUUCAAGCUCUGCUUGGUGUUGGGUGUUUUGUCUCGCCUCUGCGUGUAGACUCGCCUUAAAACAAUUGGCAGCCGGCGUAUUGAUUUCGGAGCGCAGUACAUCUCGCGCUUUGCACUCAUAACGACGACGUCCAAAAGUACAUUUUUACACUCUUGACCUCGGAUCAGGUAGGGAUACCCGCUGAACUUAAGC